rnacentral:rRNA from 1 species
UGGGGAAUCUUGCACAAUGGGGGCAACCCUGAUGCAGCGACGCCGCGUGAGCGAUGAAGCCCUUCGGGGCGUAAAGCUCUUUCGACCGGAACGAUAAUGACGGUACCGGGAGAAGAAGCUGCGGCUAACUACGUGCCAGCAGCCGCGGGAAUACGUAGGCAGCAAGCGUUGUUCGGAGUUACUGGGCGUAAAGAGUGCGUAGGCGGUUUUCUAAGUUCGGUGUGAAAUCUCCCGGCUUAACUGGGAGGGUGCGCCGAAGACUGGGAAGCUGGAGUGUGGGAAAGGCAGGCGGAAUUCCUGGUGUAGCGGUGAAAGGCGUAGAUAUCAGGAGGAACACCGGCGGUGUAGACGGCUUGCUAGACCAUAACUGACGCUGAGGCACGAAAGCGUGGGUAGCAAAC